AAAAAAUGAUCAAAUUGACCCCAUUGGACUUCAAGAUAUGUGACGAUGAAAUGAAUUACGUGUACAAAGCACUUACAGCAUGGCACAUGCUAUGGUUUUCCUGAACUUAAUCCUCUGGAUCUUCAGAGCAGAGAAAGUAUGGAGGUCGAAAUUGAAUUGCUGCUGACUGUUGUCCCUUGUUAUGGCCUGUGGAGAUAUGACAAUUGAGGAAGAACUUAGAG